UACGUAGGGUGCAAGCGUUGUCCGGAAUUAUUGGGCGUAAAGAGCUCGUAGGCGGUCUGUCGCGUCGGAUGUGAAAAUCCAGGCUCAACCCUGGACCUGCAUUCGAUACGGCAGACUAGAGUUCGGUAGGGGAGACGUGGAAUUCCUGGUGUAGCGGUGAAAUGCGCAGAUAUCAGAGGAACACCGGUGCGAAGGCGGAUCUCUGGGCCGUAACUGACGCUGAGGAGCGAAAGCAUGGGGAGCGAACAGG
rnacentral:rRNA from 1 species